rnacentral:rRNA from 1 species
CCCUUAGAUGUUCUGGGCUGCACACGCGCUACACUGAAGGGAUCAGCGUGUUCUUUUCCUGGUCCGAAAGGAUCGGGUAACCCGCUGAACCCCCUUCGUGGUAGGGAUCGGAGCUUGCAAUUAUUCUCCGUGAACCAGGAAUUCCCAGUAAGCGCAAGUCAUAAGCUUGCGUUGAUUACGUCCCUGCCCUUUGUACACACCGCCCGUCGCUACUACCGAUUGGGCGUUUUAGUGAGGAUUUUGGACUGAGCCAAUGGUGGUUCACACCACUGUUGUGCAUGGAAAGAUCUCCAAACUUGAGCGUUUAGAGGAAGUAAAAGUCGUAACA